AUGGCGACCGUGUGGGAGCUGCCUAAACUCACUGAGAUCAAACGGCAUGAUGAUUGGUUCAUCCAGGUAAUAUGUGAAGCCGAAGUACCACAACAUGUCCGUUUAAUGAUGCUCUUAUGGAGAAUUUGGCAUGUCAGGAAUGAAGUUGUUCAUGCAAAGCCAGCUCCUUCGAUGGAUGUCUCUGCCCGGUUCCUGGAGAGUUAUUUGAAUUCCUUGUCAAGCUUGUCUGCUACCCAAGAUGCUGUUUAUGCCAAGGGCAAGAUGGUUCCCGCUGAAUGCCUCCUAAAAUCGAGCGCGGUCCGCGCUGUCCAGUUGCAGAACAUUAGCCCUUGGAUCCCCCCAAGUGAAGGAAGAGUGAAGCUAAAUACUGAUGGCUCUGUCUUGAAUGGUAAUGCGGGAACUGGUAUGGUUUUGUGGGAUCAUGGUGGAAAUAUUAUUUUCAGUGCUUGCAGAUUUGUGUGCGAUUGUGAAGAUGUACUCGAGUCUGAGAUAUUGGCUAUCAAGGAGGGCAUCAGCUUGGCGUUGCAAUGGAUUUCUCUACCUAUAGAUGUUGAGUCUUAUUGUCUCGAGGCCGUCCAAAUGGUCAAGGAUGCGGGUCGCAACUUCUCAAGAUAUGCCUUUAUGAUUGGAGAUAUCAAGCAAAGUAUGGGGGAACGGGGCUCUUCUAUUACUCAUAUCCACCGCUCGGGCAAUUGUGUUAGUCAUGCCAUGGCUAGUUUUGGUAGUGGGCAGGGUCGAACCAUGGUUUGGCUCGGCUCAGCUCCUGAUGAAGUCUUA
rnacentral:rRNA from 1 species